CGCAGCUCGCCGUGUUCUCGUCGCCCACCUCCACCGCCGUUGACUCUUCGCCACCCGUUCCAAGCCGCCGCAAUCACCUGUUACCCCUCCUCCCAGAUUGUUCUCCUCACCACUCUUUCGGAACCUGCCUGCCGCCGUCCUCCGCACUGCAGCCUUAGGCAGCUCCGUCGCGGCUGCUCCCCAAGAACCUAGCCUUGAUAACGCCGGAGUGCAAGUAACCCUCCGAACCAGCGCGGGGAUCAGCAGAGUGCAGGGUCGGUCGAUAGGCGCGGCCGCUGCCGUUCGACGCGCCAUGGCCGCACAACUUGCCGGAGAAGAAGAGGCAGCCGCUCGUGUACAGAUCCCGCCGUCUGGAUCCUCCGCGUCCUCCCCGGCACAUGUACCCCGGCUACGACGCCAGCGAUAUCGAUCAGUUUCACCUUUUCUCUUCAGCGGAAGAAAUCCCUUUCAAGGGACAUGGUACAAGGAAAAUGGUACAGAAUGAAGAAUAUAGUUACUAUACAGUUCUAAUAUCUUAUCAACUUUUGGAUGUAUUUCUGCUAUGCUAAAAGUAAGUGCUAUCUUAUAGUAAGGGGGAGCAAUAUGAAAAGCUCCUUUGACAGCAGAGUAUAUCAAGAUGCUCAUGAUAGUUUUUGAGAGUAAUUAGGGCUUUAGCUCUGAACAUCUCCAAGAUUGAACUUCCUCAUAAUUCAUAAAUGUGUUCACCUGUAUUAGCUUCACAUUUGAUUGCUAACCAAUAAUCUCUUGGUGAAGGACAUCCUAAUUAAGGGAAAUCAAAAUAAAUCAGUUCUGUCCUGUAAUAUAAGUGAUGAUAGUUUUGAAGGCAGUCCAUUGAAUGACAAUUGUUGAGUCCAAAGGAAUGUGUAUUGGACAAUGAAUCAUCCCUUCAAUACUGCAAAGUGCUUGAUUUAUACCUUA